rnacentral:lncRNA from 1 species
CACCCCCCAACCCCCUGCAGAAAAGAGGGCACAACAGAACCAACAAUUAAUCGAGUGUCCGGAACUCCUGGAGUCAUCAUGAGAUCAUGACAUCACCUCACCCACAGGGGAGGGCUACGACCAGAUGCUGCGGAUUGGAAGAAGAGUCAUUUCGGAAGCCCUCGAGAAAAACAGUCUGAACUCAUGAGUGUGGAAAGCGGAUGACGACAGCCAGGGUAGAGGGCAAAGACGAUCCAAUACUGUGAUGAUGUACAUCUUUAAUCCUCGUACCUGGGAGGUGGAGGCAGGUGGAUCUGGGUUUGAGGACAACCUGGUUUACAUAGCGAGCGCCACAGUGAGACCUUGCCUCAAAUAAGUAAGUAAGGAGUGGGUCCAAGCUGGCUGACUCUGGGAUGGACUAGAGAGCUGUACCUUAUACAGAGGGAGAAC